rnacentral:rRNA from 1 species
GAUGAACGCUGGCGGCGUGCCUAAUACAUGCAAGUCGAGCGAACGGACGAGAAGCUUGCUUCUCUGUUGUUAGCGGCGGACGGGUGAGUAACACGUGUAUAACCUACCUAUAAGACUGGGAUAACUUCGGGAAACCGGAGCUAAUACCGGAUAAUAUUUUGAACCGCAUGGUUCAAAAGUGAAAGACGGUCUUGCUGUCACUUAUAGAUGGAUCCGCGCUGCAUUAGCUAGUUGGUAAGGUAACGGCUUACCAAGGCAACGAUGCAUAGCCGACCUGAGAGGGUGAUCGGCCACACUGGAACUGAGACACGGUCCAGACUCCUACGGGAGGCAGCAGUAGGGAAUCUUCCGCAAUGGGCGAAAGCCUGACGGAGCAACGCCGCGUGAGUGAUGAAGGUCUUCGGAUCGUAAAACUCUGUUAUUAGGGAAGAACAUAUGUGUAAGUAACUGUGCACAUCUUGACGGUACCUAAUCAGAAAGCCACGGCUAACUACGUG